UCCUGGCGUCAGGAUGAACGCGUGCGGCGUGCUUAACACAUGCAAGUCAACGGGGUGCCUUUGACAGAGGAUUCGUCCAAUGGAUGAGGUUACCUAGUGGCGGACGGGUGAGUAACGCGUGAGUAACCUGCCCUGGAUGGGGAAUAACAGCUGGAACAGCUGCUAAUACCGCAUGAUGCAGUUGGGUCGCAUGGCUCUGACUGCCAAAGAUUUAUCGCUCUGGGAUGGACUCGCGUCUGAUUAGCUAGUUGGUGGGGCAACGGCCCACCAAGGCGACGAUCAGUAGCCGGACUGAGAGGUUGGCCGGCCACAUUGGGACUGAGACACGGCCCAGGCUCCUACGGGAGGCAGCAGUGGGGAAUAUUGGGCAAUGGGCGCAAGCCUGACCCAGCAACGCCGCGUGAAGGAAGAAGGCUUUCGGGUUGUAAACUUCUUUUGUCAGGGACGAAGCAAGUGACGGUACCUGACGAAUAAGCCACGGCUAACUACGUG
rnacentral:rRNA from 1 species